GACGAACCGUACGAACGUUAUUCGGAAUUACUGGGCUUAAAGGGUGCGUAGGCUGUGCGGAAAGUUGGGCGUGAAAUACCUCAGCUUAACUGAGGAACUGCGUUUCAAAACUACCGUGCUUGAGGGAGACAGAGGUAAGCGGAACUGAGGGUGGAGCGGUGAAAUGCGUUGAUAUCCUCAGGAACACCGGUGGCGAAAGCGGCUUACUGGGUCUCUUCUGACGCUGAUGCACGAAAGCUAGGGUAGCAAACGGG
rnacentral:rRNA from 1 species